GUUUGUAGAGCAUUCUUUGGCAAUUAUGGACCAUUCUUACCCUAUGUCAGGAUACAGCCAAGCAAGCCCACGCAUUACUCUACGUAGCCUUGGUAUUCCAGUACUACUUAGAUGACUGAAACAGGCGUUCGCUGGCAUGCUUAUUUCAGAUGCCAAAUUCUUCUGGAGGGCUCCUGCAGUUUAUAAUUUGAUAAUUGAUGAUCGUUAGAAGUUUUAAUCCUAUAUAUUGCCUGUCUACCUGACAUUCGCAUCCAAAUUUGUGGCCUAAGAGAGUGAGGUAUCCCACAACGGACCAUUUCCCUCAGUUUGUCAGUUCUUGGUAAACGUUGGUCUAUGUGCUGCCAGGAAAGUUCCGAGACUUCUUUAUUAUGGCUAAAUUCAAGAAGAGCUACCCAUUGUAGCCUAAAGCAAUAAAGAGUUUAGAAUAAAAAAUUUUUCAUACAGUGUAGGAAGAUAAAUUGAAGAGAACAAACCUGUGUUGAGGAUCUUCAACAAAUGGAAUACCUAGUAACUUUUUUGAACUCUGCUCAGGACCAUCUUCCUCCUCUACUCGAAAACCAAAUUCAUCGAAUCUUAAAAGCUGAGAAUUAGGAUCAUCAGGCUGAUUAAGCUUUGCCAAUAUAUCCUGUGGCCACAUUGAUGGUGUAAGAGCUGAAAAUGGCCCUCCAGGUGCUGGAGAUAAGCCUUCUCCAUCGAGGCCAGUUCCAUCUAGUUCAUAUUCAUCGUCAGAUAUAGCAGUUUCCAACUUUUUCUAAAAUAAAAAUGGAAAAUGAC